AAAUCCUCUCAUCAAGCACCAAGAGAGAAGAUGGUAAUGCCAAAUGCUCAAACGACUAGGGAAACGCCUAGAUCCACAACCAUGGUUUGUGGGUCUUCUAUUCUUGAACAAUCACAAUCCCCCAAGAUCAGCAAGAAACGGUUAGCCAAAGCAGCAUUAGAAAGAAAGAAAAUGACCAAGAGGGUGAAAUCCUCUCAACAAACACCGAAAGAGAAGGAGG